UACAGAGACUGCAAGCGUUAUUCGGAUUCACUGGGCGUAAAGGGUGCGCAGGCGGCCAAGUGUGUGAGGCGUGAAAGCCCGGGGCUUAACCCCGGAAUUGCACCUCAAACUACAUGGUUAGAGCAUUGGAGAGGGUAGCAGAAUUCAUGGUGUAGCAGUGAAAUGCGUAGAUAUCAUGAGGAAUACCAGAGGCGAAGGCGGCUACCUGGACAAUUGCUGACGCUCAGGCACGAAAGCGUGGGGAGCAAAAGGG
rnacentral:rRNA from 1 species